rnacentral:rRNA from 1 species
UACGUAGGGUGCGAGCGUUGUCCGGAAUUAUUGGGCGUAAAGAGCUUGUAGGCGGUUUGUCGCGUCUGCUGUGAAAAUCCGGGGCUCAACCCCGGACUUGCAGUGGGUACGGGCAGACUAGAGUGUGGUAGGGGAGACUGGAAUUCCUGGUGUAGCGGUGAAAUGCGCAGAUAUCAGGAGGAACACCGAUGGCGAAGGCGGGUCUCUGGGCCGUAACUGGACGCUGGAGGAAGCGAAAGCAUGGGGAGCGAACAGG